GUUGCUUGGCAAUUUUGAUAUCGUCGAGUGUUGCCAUGGGGAGGAGAGUGAUGUCAUUGACAUAAAAAAAAAAAAAAACACACCAAACCCACUGAAUUUACAAAUCAGCUGGGGCUGGAGCUAUUUAUAAAAGCCUUUUCGCCUGCCUUCCUUCACUGAGCGGGAGGAGAGGAAGAGCUGCCUGCCGGAACCAGUGGGCGCCUCCCCCAGCCCCGCAGCCAGACCUCCCAGGCUCCCCACCCCCGCAGCGCUGCGAGAUUCAGACCUGGCUGGCCCUGACCACAGCUGGGCUGAGCUCCCUUGCCGGGUCUCAGCUGGUUUUGCUGUGAGUGGCACACAGGGAGUGCUGGGCAGCGUGAACGCUGGCGUCCUGGGUUUGCAGGCACCAGUGAAACCAGCCACUCAACCGCCCCGUACGAAUCAUGCCCCCUCCCCCGCCAGAAACCAGGGCGUGUGCAGAGUAAAAGCAACGUGGCAUUUGGUUAAAAGCCCAGGCUAUGAGUUUUCGCUCUCCUGACUUCAAGUCCCAGCUCUGCUCAUCAACCAAGUGACCUGGGCAUGUUAUUUAACCAACUAAACUCAAUUUCCUUAUCCACAAAAUGGGGGUGAUUUUGCCCAGCUUCCAGGAUUGUGGGAAUUAAGUGAACAAAGCUCCUGGCACAGGAGCUCAAUAAACAUGAAUUUUCUUCUUAGCUGUCA